CCGCCGUGAUGACCUUCUUAGGACACCUUUGGAUUAACCGUGAAACUAAAACUCCGGUCUGAGCGGC